UCUGUGGUCUGGGAGGCAUCAGGCUAAUCUACAGAUUUUUGUCCAGAGGGACCUCUGCUGCAGUACAGAAGAACCCAAUCAGAAUGAAAGGCACAAAGAUCAUCCUACACAAUGAAUCCUUGCCUCAAGCCUAUGCUGGAACACAGUUUCAAGAGUGAUCCUGAAACUCAAGUGAUGGACACCUGUCUGAACAGUCCCUAAACACCCACUCUUUGGGUAAUGCAUGUGGACCUAUGGCAGUUGCUGCUCUUAGGCGGCAGCAGCAGCGUCCCCUCGCUUGGAGGCUCCUUGUCUUCUGGGAGCAGUUGGCUCUGCAGGCUUGCAAGUAGCUUGAUGUACUCUGCUGUGCAAGCGUAGCAGAAUUCAUUGAGUCUGGAAUAGCUGCCUCCCUUGGAAUGUAAUGUGGUUUGAGGUCCUAUGGUGGAUGCUUCAACAAGAUUAAUGGAACAUAAACUACUCAGUGCCCAGCUGUAAUCAACCAAAUGUCAGCAUACAUCUUUAUUUUAUUAAAGGGUUUCAAGCACUCACUGCUGUUUAAAAGUUUAGCCCCC